GUCCAGUUCUCACUGUUGCUUCUUGACCCACAAUAGGUUUCUCAAGAGACAAAUAAGAUGGUCUGGUACUCCCAUCUCUUUAAGAACUUGCCCCAAUUUGUUGUGUGCUACCCCCAGAAAACCCUUGGGUAAAGACACCCUGAAUCUGCUCCUGCCCUCAGUAACUCUGCCUCCUUUCUCAUCACUGCUGCCUCGUGCUAGCUAGAUAGUUGGGGAGCAAGUAGGCUGUGUGUCUGCUGUUGUUGUUCUUGACACCACUUUGCUCUGGACCAGAAGAAGAGACAGAUGAACGAGCAGGUUUCAGUGCUGAAGCAGAGAAGCUAGUCUAGGGAACUGUUCCAUGGUGCCACUCUUUUGUUUGUUUUAUUUAUUUUAUUUAAGCAUUUAUAUACUGUUCAUAAGCUCUCAGAACUGUGUACAAGAAUCAGAAUGGUGUACACUUUUGAAGCAUGGGUCUUCAGGAGGUGGCCAGCCUUGCUUACCUGGACACUAUGCAGGUGCACAAAGGGAUGCUAGGCACACUAUUCUUCAACUCAGUCCAGCUAGGAGUACAUAACACAUACACACCUAACGCCGACCCUUUGGAAAAAGCUGAGAACUUGCCAUUCAUCUGUUCAAGAGAAGGACUGAAUUUAGCUCCUCUGCUUUUCUUUUGCCAGCAAGCACCAGUUGCUGGGAACUAAUAGGGCUAUGCAUUUUCUGUCUUCACUAAGCAUGAAAAUUGUUUAUCUACAAUGAAAAUGUCCAUGGAACAUUUAAAUUACAGCUUAAGAAAUUGGAUAGUCCCAGUAAUCUGAAAAAAGCUGACCCAGUAACUCAAUAAAGGAAACAAACAUUUAACAUGCAUAACCACAGUGUGCCCUAUAUAAAUAUAUAGACUUCAUUUGGUCAUAUAAAUGCAGUUUAACCCUUUCUUCCAUCUAGCACCAUCCUAACAGAAAUCUCCUCUCCCUGUGGCUGCUAUGAACUCUGGAAGCAAAGUUGGUAAUAACAGUCAUGGCUGGGGAUAGUUUUUUGUCAUGGCAGGAAAAGAAGGGGGGAAAGUUUCACAUCCCCAAGUAAACCCAGGUUCAAUAUGUACAUGUUUUACAUUGGGUUUGUUUGUUUGUUUGAUUCCCAGAGGGAUGGUGGAAAUUAUUAGCAGGUAAAUUUUUGUCGUCGUCAUCAUCAUUAUUUGGUAUCCCAGCAUAUUUGUAAUUUUUCUGGGCUCUGUAUUGUCUCUUUGCAUGUUUUUAUGUCCUUCAUAGCACAAUGGAAUAGCCACAGAUUUGAGGUUGAAACUACAUAUUAUUUGGAAUUAUUUUUCUGUUCUGAAUUUGAUUUGGACAGCAGUGCUAGGUAAAAAGUGCAUUGUUCUCCAAAUCCCAUGGUAUCACUUUCUUGAUUCAAAUCACUUCCUGAAGCUGCUUAAGACCUGGUAUGCGUCUUCAGGGUACAGCUUGUUUUGCAGUCCGAACCCUGGUCAUGUGGUUUGUUGGAGGGAGAAACAUCCAAAUGGCAGUGGAGGGGGCACCUGGGCAUGGACUCUGGAUCUUUUUUGAGCUAUGUACAAUUGCUAUCAUCAGCCUUAAAAUAAGCCUGCUUCUUCCCCCUGAACUCGAUAGGCAUGCAGUUAAAAAGAGAGCAUAAAACUUGUUCUCUUGGCAGACUAGUAGAGAGUGUAACAUGUAGGCAUGUUGUGACUGAAGCUGGGGGUGAGACUAGAUGGCCCGUGAGGCCCCUUCUGACUUGCUCUGUUUCUAUGUUUCUAUGUAACAUGAGGACACCAGGCUUUUAGACUGGUUCCUAGCCAGCUUGGGGAAAAACAAGUGGGUUUGCUUGUAAAAAAGGAUUGAAAGAGCAGCAGUGUUUGAAUUUGGGUCAAGGUAAUAUAUGAGUAUGUAGCCAGGGGAGGACCAGGUUCACUAGGUUUGGGUAAUAUUAUGCAUCUUGACUGGGGGCGGAGGGCACUAUUUGCUGCUCUGACUCGGGAAGCAAAAUGUCUUGGAGUCAACCCUGAAUAUGGCUAUAGAGGUGGGGAAAAGGAAGCUGAGGAAGUUACAUGCAGUUCAGAAACAACAGGAUUACAAAGAAAUCUGGAUAGGAAAACAUGUUAAGGAUUACAUCAAACUUGUGUAACCUGCACAUGUUUACUCAAUAAGUAACUUAUAUUGAGUUCAAUGGGAUUUACUCCUAGAUAAUUCUAUGAAGAAUUAUUCCUUGGUAAUUGUGCUCAGUGCUGCAAGCUGACUUGUCCUCCUUUAAGUCCAUUCCAAUAUCUGGAGUUAGGGAGAAACCUGAGAAUUGAUAACUCUGGCAAGUUAAAGAACAGCCAACCUAGCCAAAAGUAGCCAUGCUGGUCCAUGAGAAAUAAAAACCCAAAAUCCACAAUUGGGUAAUCUUUGCUAGUCCCAGGCAUUCUGGGCUCCCCAUCUGGACUAGGGCUUGAAAGACCAAGGAAAAGGGCCAGUGCAUUGAGGGUCAGUUUCCAGAAAGCACAAUUUAGGCCAUUGCACAGUUCUGUCCUGAAUGCAAGCAAUAGGUCAAUUAGCUUCCCUGCUAGCAAUUGAAAUUAAAUUAUAGCAAUGAUUUCUAAGGGUGCACAUAUAUUUGCAAUAUGCAUUGACCUGUGCAUGUUUGCUGCUUUUUGUUUUAUGGGCCCUGAGCCUUGGGUUUUCUAGGUGUCUAGCACAGUCCUUGGGAACAAACAGCCAAUAAGCCUGGAACUGCCAAUGGAUAACUAUGCUGUCUGGGUUUCAAUGAAUGACAAGCUAUGGCCUAAUGCUGAUUAUGGAGAUUACAACCCUGCCAUCACACCACAAUCAGCUCUAAAGGCAGAUGCAGGUCCAUUCAGUAGCCAUCACAAGACCUUCAGAGCCUUACCUGAAUAGCUGUAGAGCCCUUUGGCUUGACCUAAUAAAGGUAUUAGACUAAGAAGACUUUGGCAACUCGCUUUUUUGUUGACCCUGUAAGUAUCUCUGAAAUUGAGAGGGCAAAUCUUUAGCUACGUAUCACUGUGCAACUCAGAAAAGACAUGACAAAUAAAGCAUUUAUAAGUGUGAUGAGACCUUAGGGAACAAUUUUGCACUUUCACGCUAUAGCAGAGAGAGCGCAUCUGUAAGAGCAGGGACCUGGGCUUCUGCCUUGCGUAUCAUGUCAUGUAGUCACUGGUGAGCACCGCAACAAUGAAAUUGUUCCAUCGCUGAAUGACUACCUGAAUCUACUUCCUUUUCUGGAAAGCCAAAAUGGUGAGGGCAAGUAGAGCAACUCAGCUGGGUUACUCGACGACUAUCCAUUAUCCUCAGUUGAUCUUUCAGUGGGAAAAAAAUGGAUAAUUUCUCUAAUCAAAAAACACCAUGCUUUGAAGAAACCAUUGUGCGAGGAUUUGUUGUUGCUAAAUUUGCAGGCAAUAUACAGGCAAUUCAGCCCAGCACAGCUAAGUUGAAAGGUUUUAUCCAUGCUUCAGUUUCCAUUCACUCAUUCAAACAGGGAUGUCUUGGCUUUCCCAAAAAGGUGGUAGCGAUCACAUGUAGCGGGAUUGGUGAGCAGCAUGAACAUUGGCUCAGCGAUGAAGCCCAAGUUUUGUGUGAGGCCGAUCUCCAACAUCUGCAGGCAAUGUGAGUGUGCGUGUGGGAAUUCUUACCAAUCACUGCUUGGAUGAACCAAUGGCCUCCCAAGCUCAUCAAACAAUGACUGUUGUGCAAACCUCAUAAGAGUUAGUACUUCCUCCUUAUGGGGCAUUAUUUCCCCAUACAUACAUAAUACAAUGCAGCCAUGAGCAAAGGUUCUUUGGUUGUAGCUUUGGUUGAAAUACAUCAUACCACUUUUAUGAGACAGAUAUAAUAUUCCCUUCAGGUUAUAUGUGUGAGCAGGUGUUUUAGUAUAAUUAUAGCAAGUCCUUCCUCUGCUUUUGAAAAGGCUGCUGUAACCUAGCCAGAGUUCAUUUCCUCCUUCAUGUGUUGAAAGCAGCCAUCAAUUUGUCAUUCAUAGUCUAAUGACUCAUGAAAGUUUCAUUUGCCUACGUGCCACAGAAGAAUAGAUGGAGGCAACCUUUCCGUGACUUCUUGUAAUUCAUGGUGGGUGUGUGCAUGUGUAAAUAAAAAUGCAAAACGUCUUAUUCUGUGAUUAUAGUUACAGCUAUAUUUUGUUGCAUUUUAUUCACUCUAACUUGGACCCAGCCCACAUAAAUGCAUCAAGGGCCAAUGUGGAUACCUCGGUGGGGUACCUGGACCUGACAAAACCAAAACACUUUAUUGACUCUAAACUGUCAUAUGCUGUGAAAUGGAAACACUUAAGUGGGCAGCAAAAAGACAACUGCAGGACUUUGACUUAUGCUCAUUCAUAAUUGUCCUUCAUUCCAGACCACUUGACUCAGCCAGGCUCAGAUCUAGCAUUUCCACAGCUUCACCUGAUGAGGAUGAAAAUGAGAAAUAGAGCUGUGCAUCAUCAGCAGAUUGAUGGCAACACAUGAUCUAAAACUGUAGAUAGUCCCCUUCGACUGUUUCAGGUAGAUUUUACGGACUGGGAACCAGUGGGAUAGAGUGGAAUGGGACACAGAUUAGUUGGUUCUAGACCCCAUUUGGCCAUGUAGCUCAGUGGGUGACUCUGGGCCACCUACUGCUCAUGGUUUGUUUUGAAGAUAAAAUAAGUGGAUUAAGCUAUCAUGGAUUUCUUGCAGGAAAAUGCUUGCUUGGCAAAUUGCACCUGCUGCAAUGCUCUCUUUUGCACUAGUAUUACCGGUACAGGAGUGUGGUCCUUUUUUUCCCUGGCUAUCCAUGCUUAGUGGUGUAGCUAGAGUUGGAUUUGGAGGCUGAGGUUGAGGGGGGUUUCAGACAACCAUUCCAAAAGUAGUAGAUGAUGAAGCAGGGCACAAACCUGGCAUGACACCACCAGACUGGCACCACCUACCACAGCAUUGGUCUUCCUCUUCCUCCACACCUGGCAGCCAGGUGGGUAAGUGAUUACAGAAGCUCAUCUUGUUUUUAGUUUCAAUAUCUAUUAUCAUUUUCUAUAAUGAGACUGGUUAUGCCCCAGUAAAUAUGCUCAGCAUAAGGACAGCAGAAGCUCCCCUGUAUUCCUGGAAUGAGUUGCAAGUGCGGAACUUCAUAUGCUUAGAUUCUUUCUGUCUUCUUUUCAAAUCAAAGUUGGUAGACAGGCAUAGAAACAGUUGUAAAAACAGUUGUAAAACAUGGAAUGGCAGCCAUGAUGGAAAUAAGAGGAAUUUUAAUUGCAUUUGCCAUGACUUAUUGCCCAUUAUAGACUUUUAAAUCCAGAUCUUAAAAUCAGCUGGGUACACCAUUGCCCAUGCUUAAGUUUUAAACCUCACACACACGCUCCAUUGCCUACAGUGUGCUGUUCUGUUAAUACAGGAGGACUGUAAUACAUGCAGAAGCUGCUACAGGCAAAACAUCUUGAAAAAGUAAAUGUAAUUUAGCACCUGAUAAAUCCCAAGCAAAACACCUGAUAAAUCCCAAGCAAAACACUCCACCCAGAAGGCUUUCAUGAGGAUGCUUUCAACAAUGUGACUCAAGUGACAUCGUUCUAAGUCAAUUCUGAUUUACAUUGGUUUGAAAGUUGGGUGGUUGUGGGAAGAUCUUGCAUCGCAGCUUGAAAUAUAGUGUUUGGAAGGUACUCAUUUUUAACAGUUUGUGGAAUUCACUUAACAAUGAAAGCUGCCCAAAUACUGUUUCAUCACAGUACUUGCAUGUUGGUACUUUAGCAGCAGCAUUUCGGGUUCUGUUUGAGAUAAUCUAUGGAAAAUGCAAACUGGUUUUGAAAACUAAGCCUAGAUGUGUGUUACAGAGCUGUCAAGAGAGUUGUUAUAGUUGAGCAGCAUUUUUCAGCCUUUUUUCAAUGUAAAACUCACCCCCUCUCUCUCCCCUUUUCUCUCUUUCUCUCUCCGUGUUUGUGUGUGCGUAAACACCCUAAGACAUUUGGCAGGAUAAUCUGCACAAUGUGGCAUAUAAUCAAUAUUUUUAAAAUAUUGAUGAUGGAUGUCUGAAUCAUAAUAGUUUUAAAGUUUUGCUCUGAAAGGCAAAUGUUUCCACUGUUUCUUUCUUCCCAUGAUGUCUUAGAUAUCUUCAUUGAGAAGUUUAGGUCACAUCAAACAUUCAAGGACAUUGGAAGGGUAUGCAUUUAGUUGGGUUGGGUGAAAACCCAGACAUCGUCAUAUAUAGUGUGCACACAAUAAAUAUUAUGAAAUUUCA